AAGGACUUUGGAGUUGGAUUGUAGCUGGCCUUUUAGGCAUGUGCACAUCCCUCCUUAUAUUCAAAUACACUUGUGCACAAAUGGGGCUUAUGGCCUCUCACACAUAUACACAUACACAGUUAAUGCAUGUUAUAAAGUUAUAAUUA
rnacentral:misc_RNA from 1 species